GUUCGUUCAACGAUAUUUCAAUAAAAUUGAAACGAUACAAAGAAGAAUAGCAUGAUUUCUCCGCAAGAAUAACAUGCAUAAAUCGAGAAUCGAAAGAAUCAUAC
rfam:Capsicum annuum cultivar Zunla-1 chromosome 1, whole genome shotgun sequence